GCGACUUAUAUUCUGUAGCAAGGUUAACCGAAUAGGGGAGCCGGAGGGAAACCGAGUCUUAAUUGGGCGUUAAGUUGCAGGGUAUAGACCCGAAACCCGGUGAUCUAGCCAUGGGCAGGUUGAAGGUUGGGUAACACUAACUGGAGGACCGAACCGACUAAUGUUGAAAAAUUAGCGGAUGACCUGUGGCUGGGGGUGAAAGGCCAAUCAAACCGGGAGAUAGCUGGUUCUCCCCGAAAGCUAUUUAGGUAGCGCCUCGUGAAUUCAUCUCCGGGGGUAGAGCACUGUUUCGGCUAGGGGGCCAUCCCGGCUUACCAACCCGAUGCAAACUGCGAAUACCGGAGAAUGUUAUCACGGGAGACACACGGCGGGUGCUAACGUCCGUCGUGAAGAGGGAAACAACCCAGACCGCCAGCUAAGGUCCCAAAGUCAUGGUUAAGUGGGAAACGAUGUGGGAAGGCCCAGACAGCCAGGAUGUUGGCUUAGAAGCAGCCAUCAUUUAAAGAAAGCGUAAUAGCUCACUGGUCGAGUCGGCCUGCGCGGAAGAUGUAACGGGGCUAAACCAUGCACCGAAGCUGCGGCAGCGACGCUGAUGCGUUGUUGGGUAGGGGAGCGUUCUGUAAGCCUGCGAAGGUGGCCUGUGAGGGUUGCUGGAGGUAUCAGAAGUGCGAAUGCUGACAUAAGUAACGAUAAAGCGGGUGAAAAGCCCGCUCGCCGGAAGACCAAGGGUUCCUGUCCAACGUUAAUCGGGGCAGGGUGAGUCGACCCCUAAGGCGAGGCCGAAAGGCGUAGUCGAUGGGAAACGGGUUAAUAUUCCCGUACUUGGUGUUACUGCGAAGGGGGGACGGAGAAGGCUAUGUUGGCCGGGCGACGGUUGUCCCGGUUUAAGCGUGUAGGUGUGUGUUCCAGGUAAAUCCGGUUCACUUUAACACUGAGGCGUGAUGACGAGGCACUACGGUGCUGAAGCAACAAAUGCCCUGCUUCCAGGAAAAGCCUCUAAGCAUCAGGUAACAUCAAAUCGUACCCCAAACCGACACAGGUGGUCAGGUAGAGAAUACCAAGGCGCUUGAGAGAACUCGGGUGAAGGAACUAGGCAAAAUGGUGCCGUAACUUCGGGAGAAGGCACGCUGACACGUAGGUGAAGUGAUUUACUCAUGGAGCUGAAGUCAGUCGAAGAUACCAGCUGGCUGCAACUGUUUAUUAAAAACACAGCACUGUGCAAACACGAAAGUGGACGUAUACGGUGUGACGCCUGCCCGGUGCCGGAAGGUUAAUUGAUGGGGUCAGCGCAAGCGAAGCUCCUGAUCGAAGCCCCGGUAAACGGCGGCCGUAACUAUAACGGUCCUAAGGUAGCGAAAUUCCUUGUCGGGUAAGUUCCGACCUGCACGAAUGGCGUAAUGAUGGCCAGGCUGUCUCCACCCGAGACUCAGUGAAAUUGAACUCGCUGUGAAGAUGCAGUGUACCCGCGGCAAGACGGAAAGACCCCGUGAACCUUUACUAUAGCUUGACACUGAACAUUGAGCCUUGAUGUGUAGGAUAGGUGGGAGGCUUUGAAGUGUGGACGCCAGUCUGCAUGGAGCCGGCCUUGAAAUACCACCCUUUAAUGUUUGAUGUUCUAACGUGGACCCGUGAUCCGGGUUGCGGACAGUGUCUGGUGGGUAGUUUGACUGGGGCGGUCUCCUCCUAAAGAGUAACGGAGGAGCACGAAGGUUGGCUAAUCCUGGUCGGACAUCAGGAGGUUAGUGCAAUGGCAUAAGCCAGCUUGACUGCGAGCGUGACGGCGCGAGCAGGUGCGAAAGCAGGUCAUAGUGAUCCGGUGGUUCUGAAUGGAAGGGCCAUCGCUCAACGGAUAAAAGGUACUCCGGGGAUAACAGGCUGAUACCGCCCAAGAGUUCAUAUCGACGGCGGUGUUUGGCACCUCGAUGUCGGCUCAUCACAUCCUGGGGCUGAAGUAGGUCCCAAGGGUAUGGCUGUUCGCCAUUUAAAGUGGUACGCGAGCUGGGUUUAGAACGUCGUGAGACAGUUCGGUCCCUAUCUGCCGUGGGCGCUGGAGAACUGAGGGGGGCUGCUCCUAGUACGAGAGGACCGGAGUGGACGCAUCACUGGUGUUCGGGUUGUCAUGCCAAUGGCACUGCCCGGUAGCUAAAUGCGGAAGAGAUAAGUGCUGAAAGCAUCUAAGCACGAAACUUGCCCCGAGAUGAGUUCUCCCUGAGACUU
rnacentral:rRNA from 1 species